rnacentral:rRNA from 1 species
UACGGAAGGCAGCAGUGGGGAAUAUUGCACAAUGGGCGAAAGCCUGAUGCAGCUAUGCCGCGUGUAUGAAGAAGGCCUUAGGGUUGUAAAGUACUUUCAUCGGGGAGGAAAAACAAAACUAAUAAUUUUAUUUCUUGACGUUACCCGAAAAAGAAGCACCGGCUAACUCCGUGCCAGCAGCCGCGGUAAUACGGAGGGUGCUAGCGUUAAUCAGAAUUACUGGGCGUAAAGAGCACGUAGGUGGUUUUUUUAAAGUCAGAUGUGAAAUCCCUGGGCUUAACCUAGGAACUGCAUUUUGAAACUGAAAUACUAGAGUAUCGUAGAGGGAGGUAGAAUUCUAGGUGUAGCGGUGAAAUGCGUAGAUAUCUGGAGGAAUACCUGUGGCGAAAGCGGCCUCCUAAACGAAUACUGACACUGGGGUGCGAAAGCGUGGGGAGCAAACAGGGAUUAGAUACC